CUGGGCGCUGGAGGAGACGCGACUCGCACUCGCGACUCUGGCUGGAUGGAUGCUGAUGCUGACAGCUGCUGGAGUCGCGUCGCUGUCAACAGCAACGAGUCCAGCCAGAGUCGCGAGUGUGGGUUAGGUUAUCGUGUCCCGUUCGAUGGAACAUGGAAUUGAAUUCCAACACUUGGUCUACAAUGCACCAUUUUUCAAGGAAAGAACUAUUAUCGCUACAACAACCAUAUCCUUCUGCCAACGUGAUAUUUUUCUGAGUGUUUUGUAGUGACAUUUCAUGUUCAAAUUUUAUACUGUCGAACGGUCGAACUUCUUGCAUCAGUUUGUCUUGUGUGCUUUAUUCAUUUCUAAACCAAUGUCAAUCUUUCAUACAUUUGUUUGCUUUCAAUUUAUUUAAUGCCUCCUUAUUAACCAACAUCAUGUCCUCAAAGUUAGGUACGAACCAUGUAUACUAAUCUAAUUUCCUUGUAGUUCCUCAAAACCGGUAUUAAAAAUAAAAAUCUUAUGAUGCAACAAUAAAAUGCUCUUUACUCUUGUACAAAGUUACUGCAAACAUCAAAUAAAAAUAUUUUUUAAAUUAAA